GUGGAAGUCAGUCGCCUUUUCUGUAUAGUCACAGUUUUCAUGAGGGGGCAGAACACAACAUCAACUGGGAGAGGCAAAGAAUGAAAAGAUGCAUGCGACCCAGCAGAACGCCAGGCAAGAAAUCAGAAACAGCCCUGCCCUCAUUUCUCCCCUCCGUACUAAGUCUGGGUCCCAGGACUCUGAAGGUGGAAGAGGAACGAUGGCGCUGCAUGCUAAUGGGGAGGAGGCUGCCACCCAGGACAGCUCCAAAGCAGUGAAAAAUGAGGAGAAAAAAAGAUGAGGAAAACAACUCAGUGGCAGAAAUUGGGUGCCAGUCAGCUGGUUAUUUACUGAGUCUACGCCCAGUGUGUCUUCGUAGGUGUGUUUGUUUCAAAUCCAGGCAGUGACGCAUGGUUACAGUGAAGAUCUGCCUGCUCACCUCCUGCAGGGGAACUUAAUAUGCACAAGGCGUUUUAUCUCUUUCAUCUAAUCAACUGAAGAACGAGAGGAGCAUACUCUCAUUUGAGGUACAACCCUCAAAGAAAAAUGCAUCAGACCUUUGUCUUCAAAGUCACUGGGGCAGGAUGGAGAGAGGCUGUCAAUUGCUCCAGCUUUUCUUGCAGCUGCCCCUAUGUUUACAGCAGAGCCCUGAAGGGUCUGAUCGACACUGUUAAGCAGUUUCUGUGUUUUGUCUGCCCACCAGGCUAUUCGCUUUCCCAGAGUGUCAGUGUUUACCAGCACUUCAGCAGGAGGGCACUGGGUCUGCCCCUGGUUAUCCCCCAGAACAUUCCUUCCUCUCUGCUUGGCUCUCCCUCCGCAUAGUCGUCCUGUGGAACACAGAUGCCAAUGGGAACACCGGAAAAGGGAUGGUUAAGGAGCUCUUUGGGCUCACAGGCCACAGCUGCAGGAGAGCUGAGACUCCUCAAACAGAUGAGAGGCAGUCGAGCAAAGUGGUUAAGAACUUCAGCUGCGGAGGCAAACUGCCUUGCCUGGAAUCCUGGGUCUCUGCUGACUAGAUGUGUGACCCUCAGCAAGUUGCUUAACCUCUUUGUGCCCCGGUUUCUGGGAGAUGAAUAUAAUAAUAGUAUUUCUCUCAUAGGCUUGUUGUGAGGUUUAAAUGAGUUAAUGCAGGUAAAUUACUUAGAACGUUACCUGGUGUUAUGGUCUGAAUGUUUGUGUUUCCCCAAAAUUCAUAUGUUGAAAUCUAAUCACCAAGAUGAUGGUAUUUGAAGCUGGGAUCUUUGGGAGGUGAUUAGGUCAUAAGGACAGGGCCAUCAUGAAUGGGAUUAGUGCCCUUUGAAAGAAGACCCCAGGCUGGGCACAGUGACUCACGCCUGUAAUCCCAGUACUUUGAGAGGCUGAGGCCAGAGGAUUGCUUGAGUCCAGGAGUUUGCCUAGCCUAGGUAACAUAGUGAGACCCAGUCUCUACAAAAAAUAAAAAAGUUAGGCCAGGCGAGGUGGUUCAUGCCUGUAAUCCCUGCGCUUUGGGAGGCUGAGGUGGGUGGAUCACUUGAGGUCAGGAGUCCUAGACCAGCCUGGCCAACAUGGUGAAAUCCCAUCUCUAUUAAAAAUGCAAAAAUUAGCCAGACAUGGUGGUGCAUGCCUGUAAUCCCAGCUACACAGGAGGCUGAGGCAGGAGAAUUGCUUGAACCCUGGAGGUGGAGAUUGCAGUAAGCUGAGAUGGUGCCACUGUACUCCAGCCUGGGCAACAGAGUGACACUCUGUCUCAAAAAAAAAAAAAAAGUUAGCUGGGUGUGGUGGCAUAUGCCUGUAGUUCCAGCUACUCCAGAGGCUGAGGUGGGAAGAAUGCUUGAAGCUGGGAGGUUCAGGUUGCAGUGAGCCAUAAUUGCACCUCUACACUACCCUGGGCAACACAGCAAGACCCUAUCUCUAAAAAUAAAAAUAAAAAGACUCCAGAGGGCUAGCUAGCCCCUUCCACCAUAUAAGGACACAGCAAGAAGGUAUCAUCUGUGGCCAAGGAAACAGGCCCUCACCAAAUACGAAAUCUGCAGGCACUUUGAUCUUGGACUUCCCAGCCACCAGAACUGUGAGAAAUAAAUUUCUGUCAUUUACAAGCC
rnacentral:lncRNA from 1 species